AGAACGAACGCUGGCGGCAUGCCUAAUACAUGCAAGUCGAACGAAGGCUUCGGCCUUAGUGGCGCACGGGUGCGUAACGCGUGGGAAUCUGCCCCUUGGUUCGGAAUAACAGUUGGAAACGACUGCUAAUACCGGAUGAUGACGAAAGUCCAAAGAUUUAUCGCCAAGGGAUGAGCCCGCGUAGGAUUAGCUAGUUGGUGAGGUAAAGGCUCACCAAGGCGACGAUCCUUAGCUGGUCUGAGAGGAUGAUCAGCCACACUGGGACUGAGACACGGCCCAGACUCCUACGGGAGGCAGCAGUAGGGAAUAUGGACAAUGGGCGAAGGCCUGAUCAGCAAUGCCGCGUGAGUGAUGAAGGCCUUAGGUUGUAAAGCUUCUUUUACCGAGUACUGAUAAUUGACAGUAGUCGGAAGAACUAACG
rnacentral:rRNA from 1 species